AUUGAACGCUGGCGGCAGGCCUAACACAUGCAAGUCGAGCGGAUGAGAGAAGCUUGCUUCUCGAUUCAGCGGCGGACGGGUGAGUAAUGCCUAGGAAUCUGCCUGGUAGUGGGGGACAACGUUUCGAAAGGAACGCUAAUACCGCAUACGUCCUACGGGAGAAAGCAGGGGACCUUCGGGCCUUGCGCUAUCAGAUGAGCCUAGGUCGGUUUAGCUAGUUGGUGAGGUAAUGGCUCACCAAGGCGACGAUCCGUAACUGGUCUGAGAGGAUGAUCAGUCACACUGGAACUGAGACACGGGCCAGACUCCUACGGGAGGCAGCAGUGGGGAAUAUUGGACAAUGGGCGAAAGCCUGAUCCAGCCAUGCCGCGUGUGUGAAGAAGGUCUUCGGAUUGUAAAGCACUUUAAGUUGGGAGGAAGGGUUGUAGAUUAAUACUCUGCAAUUUUGACGUUACCGACAGAAUAAGCACCGGCUAACUCUGUGCCAGCAGCCGCGGUAAAAC
rnacentral:rRNA from 1 species